GAUGAACGCUGGCGGCGUGCUAAACACAUGCAAGUCGAACGAUGAAGCCCAGCUUGCUGGGUGGAUUAGUGGCGAACGGGUGAGUAACUCGUGAGUAACCUGCCCUUAACUCUGGGAUAAGCCUGGGAAACUGGGUCUAAUACCGGAUAGGAGCGUCCACCGCAUGGUGGGUGUUGGAAAGAUUUAUCGGUUUUGGAUGGACUCGCGGCCUAUCAGCUUGUUGGUGAGGUAAUGGCUCACCAAGGCGACGACGGGUAGCCGGCCUGAGAGGGUGACCGGCCACACUGGGACUGAGACACGGCCCAGACUCCUACGGGAGGCAGCAGUGGGGAAUAUUGCACAAUGGGCGAAAGCCUGAUGCAGCGACGCCGCGUGAGGGAUGACGGCCUUCGGGUUGUAAACCUCUUUCAGUAGGGAAGAAGCGAAAGUGACGGUACCUGCAGAAGAAGCACCGGCUAACUACGUGCCAGCCGCCGCCGUAA
rnacentral:rRNA from 1 species